GGCCUUGUGGCUCAGCUGGUUGGAGCAUUGUCCCAUACACCAAAAGAUUGUGGGUUCGAUCCCCAGCCAGGGUUU
rnacentral:tRNA from 1 species